GGGGACGUAGCUCAGCUGGGAGAGCGCCUGCCUUGCAAGCAGGCGGUCGCCGGUUCAAGUCCGGCCGUCUCCACCA
rnacentral:tRNA from 1 species